rnacentral:rRNA from 1 species
AGCGAACGCUGGCGGUAGGCCUAACACAUGCAAGUCGAACGGCAGCACAGUAAGAGCUUGCUCUUACGGGUGGCGAGUGGCGGACGGGUGAGGAAUACAUCGGAAUCUACUUUUUCGUGGGGGAUAACGUAGGGAAACUUACGCUAAUACCGCAUACGACCUACGGGUGAAAGCAGGGGAUCUUCGGACCUUGCGCGAUUGAAUGAGCCGAUGUCGGAUUAGCUAGUUGGCGGGGUAAAGGCCCACCAAGGCGACGAUCCGUAGCUGGUCUGAGAGGAUGAUCAGCCACACUGGAACUGAGACACGGUCCAGACUCCUACGGGAGGCAGCAGUGGGGAAUAUUGGACAAUGGGCGCAAGCCUGAUCCAGCCAUACCGCGUGGGUGAAGAAGGCCUUCGGGUUGUAAAGCCCUUGUUGGGAAAGAAAAGCAGCAGGUUAAUACCCCGCUGUUCUGACGGUACCCAAAGAAUAAGCACCGGCUAACUUCGUG